rnacentral:rRNA from 1 species
CAGCAGCCGCGGUAAUGCGAAGGGGGCUAGCGUUGUUCGGAUUUACUGGGCGUAAAGGGCGCGUAGGCGGACUGAUAAGUCAGGGGUGAAAUCCCAAGGCUCAACCUUGGAACUGCCUUUGAUACUGUUUGUCUUGAGUUCGAGAGAGGUAAGUGGAACUGCGAGUGUAGAGGUGAAAUUCGUAGAUAUUCGCAAGAACACCAGUGGCGAAGGCGGCUUACUGGCUCGAAACUGACGCUGAGGCGCGAAAGCGUGGGGAGCAAACAGGAUUAGAUACCCCAGUAGUCCCUGUCUCUUAUAA